CAUGCACCGGUGGGGUCCCUCAGCCUGGCCUGUGCCCUCUCACAAUACGGGACCCUCGGGGGAUGUCAGACUGCUGUUUCAGCCUGAUCCCCACAGGCCAGGCUGAGGGACCCCACUGGUGCACG
rfam:Myotis lucifugus cont2.6369, whole genome shotgun sequence.